rnacentral:rRNA from 1 species
UACGGAAGGCAGCAGUGGGGAAUAUUGCACAAUGGGCGAAAGCCUGAUGCAGCUAUGCCGCGUGUAUGAAGAAGGCCUUAGGGUUGUAAAGUACUUUCAUCGGGGAGGAAAAACAAAACUAAUAAUUUUAUUUCUUGACGUUACCCGAAAAAGAAGCACCGGCUAACUCCGUGCCAGCAGCCGCGGUAAUACGGAGGGUGCUAGCGUUAAUCAGAAUUACUGGGCGUAAAGAGCACGUAGGUGGUUUUUUAAGUCAGAUGUGAAAUCCCUGGGCUUAACCUGGAACUGCAUUUUGAAACUGAAAUACUAGAGUAUCGUAGAGGGAGGUAGAAUUCUAGGUGUAGCGGUGAAAUGCGUAGAUAUCUGGAGGAAUACCUGUGGCGAAAGCGGCCUCCUAAACGAAUACUGACACUGAGGUGAACGAGUCGGGUGGGACACAAGGAGUAUAGACCUCCUGAGACGU